CCAAUAGCGUAUAUUAAAGUUGUUGCAGUUAAAAAGCUCGUAGUUGAACUUCGGGGUCUACCCAUUGGUCAGGCUUAAUUGUCUGUACUGGUGAGAUGGAUCUCUACCUUCUGAGGAACUUUCAUGCCAUUUAUUUGGUGUGAUUGGAAAUCAGGACUGUUACUUUGAAAAAAUUAGAGUGUUUAAAGCAGACUAUCGUCUGAAUACAUUAGCAUGGAAUAAUGAAAUAGGACGGACUGAUUCUAUUUCGUUGGUUUCUAGGAUCACCGUAAUGAUUAAUAGGUAUAGUUGGGGGCAUUAGUUUUCAAUUGUCAGAGGUGAAAUUCUUGGAUUUAUUGAAGACUAACUACUGCGAAAGCAUUUGCCAAGGAUGUUUUCAUUAAUCAAGAACGAAGGUUAGGGGAUCGAAGACGAUCAGAUACCGUCUUAUUCUUAACCAUAAACUAUGCCAACUAGGGAUCGGCCGAAGUUAAUUUUAUAAUGACGGGUCGGCACCUUACG
rnacentral:rRNA from 1 species